GAUCGAAGCCCCAGUAAACGGCGGCCGUAACUAUAACGGUCCUAAGGUAGCGAAAUUCCUUGUCGGGUAAGUUCCGACCCGCACGAAUGGCGUAACGAUGGCCACACUGUCUCCUCCCGAGACUCAGCGAAGUUGAAGUGGUUGUGAAGAUGCAAUCUACCCGCUGCUAGACGGAAAGACCCCGUGAACCUUUACUGUAGCUUUGCAUUGGACUUUGAAGUCACUUGUGUAGGAUAGGUGGGAGGCUUUGAAGCAGAGACGCCAGUCUCUGUGGAGCCGUCCUUGAAAUACCACCCUGGUGUCUUUGAGGUUCUAACCCAGACCCGUAAUCCGGGUCGGGGACCGUGCAUGGUAGGCAGUUUGACUGGGGCGGUCUCCUCCCAAAGAGUAACGGAGGAGUUCGAAGGUUACCUAGGUCCGGUCGGAAAUCGGACUGAUAGUGCAAUGGCAAAAGGUAGCUUAACUGCGAGACCGACAAGUCGAGCAGGUGCGAAAGCAGGACAUAGUGAUCCGGUGGUUCUGUAUGGAAGGGCCAUCGCUCAACGGAUAAAAGGUACUCCGGGGAUAACAGGCUGAUUCCGCCCAAGAGUUCAUAUCGACGGCGGAGUUUGGCACCUCGAUGUCGGCUCAUCACAUCCUGGGGCUGUAGUCGGUCCCAAGGGUAUGGCUGUUCGCCAUUUAAAGUGGUACGUGAGCUGGGUUUAAAACGUCGUGAGACAGUUUGGUCCCUAUCUGCAGUGGGCGUUGGAAGUUUGACGGGGGCUGCUCCUAGUACGAGAGGACCGGAGUGGACGAACCUCUGGUGUACCGGUUGUAACGCCAGUUGCAUAGCCGGGUAGCUAAGUUCGGAAGAGAUAAGCGCUGAAAGCAUCUAAGCGCGAAACUCGCCUGAAGAUGAGACUUCCCUUGUGGUUUAACCACACUAAAGAGUCGUUCGAGACCAGGACGUUGAUAGGUGGGGUGUGGAAGCGCGGUAACGCGUGAAGCUAACCCAUACUAAUUGCUCGUGAGGCUUGACUCU
rnacentral:rRNA from 1 species